rnacentral:lncRNA from 13 species
UGUGUGUCUGUGUGUGUGUGUGUCUCUCUCUGUGUGUGUGUGUGUGUGUAGAAAGCAGACAACCUCAAUCUGGUUUCAUUCCUGUAGUUAUCAGAACACAUGGGGUGUGUAACAAUUAUCUCUCCUUUCUAAGUGUGAACUUGUCCACUUCCCUUCAUGGAUCUAAAGGAAAUGACUGGUAUAUGUAAACUCCCUCUACCCCAUGUCAACACCAAUCCAAUGCUUUUACAUUUGUAAGGAGUAGAGAAGGAAAGCUACAUUUCACAACUCUUAGUACAAACUCAAAACAUGAAGCCCUCUCUAAGGAGCCCUCAGAGAGGUGGACAUCAGAGAGAUGGAGGCAGGCGGCAGGGAACUGUUGUAUCUAAUGAAGUCCGGUCCAUCGUCGUUGAUCAUGUGGUCAACAGAGGUCUUACCAUGACAGAGGCCGACACAUUAGUUCACCCCAAUCUGAAAAGAUCAACUGGCAAAUUCCAUCAUGAGAACAUUUCACUAAGAAAAGCGGUAAGUCAGCAGGAUGUGCACUAUGCUUUACCUUUACAGGAAAUGACAUAUUGUAAUGCAUGUCAACAUGUUCCAGGAUUGUUCCAGUAGGAUCUAUUGACAGUAAACUCUGUUCUACCCUCAGAAUAGACAGAAGACCCCAUGGUGGUGGUCGUGUGCUGACUGACCAGCAGGAGAGGACAGUGGAGGAAAUGGUGAGGGACAGGAAUGAUAUACUGACCAGCAGGAGAGGACAGUGGAGGAAAUGGUGAGGGACAGGAAUGAUAUACUGACCAGCAGGAGAGGACAGUGGAGGAAAUGGUGAGGGGACAGUGGAGGAAAUGGUGAGGGACAGGAAUGAUAUACUGACCAGCAGGAGAGGACAGUGGAGGAAAUGGUGAGGGACAGGAAUGAUAUACUGACCAGCAGGAGAGGACAGUGGAGGAAAUGGUGAGGGACAGGACUGAUAUACUGACUAGCAGGAGAGUAGUACUAUAUACUGUAUACUAUUCAGGUACAUCACACUAUACUGUAUACUAUUCAGGUACAUCACUAUAUACUGUAUACUAUCCAGGUACAUCACUAUAUACUGUAUACUAUUCAGGUACAUCACUAUAUACUGUAUACUAUUCAGGUACAUCACUAUAUACUGUAUACUAUUCAGGUACAUCACUAUAUACUGUAUACUAUUCAGGUACAGGUACAUCACUAUAUACUGUAUACUAUUCAGGUACAUCACUAUAUACUGUAUACUAUUCAGGUACAUCACUAUAUACUGUAUACUAUUCAGGUACAGGUACAUCACUAUAUACUGUAUACUAUUCAGGUACAGUACUAUAUACUGUAUACUAUUCAGGUAAAGUCAUGUGGAUGCUGAUGUUUUUCAGGGAAGAGUAAAACUCAAGGUGCAGCACAACAUAGAGUU